GGAGGUGAGGGGGAGGCGGGCCAUUAUUUUCAACUCCUAUAAGCUCCUGUGUUUGCAUCAUAUCUUAUGUUCUAGGUGUUUCUUUGUCCUAUUCUAGAACACUACCGAUAAACAUAUGUACAUGUACACACACACAGAGAGAGAGAGAGAGAGAGAGAGAGAGAGAGAGAGAGAGAGAGAGAGAGAGAGAGAGAAUGAGAGAAACAUUUUCUACUCCUAUGAGCUCCUAUGAUUUGCAUCUUAUCUUGUAUUAAAGCUAUUUCUGUGUCCCGUUCUUGAGGCACUACUACCCAUGAGAACAUUGGCUUAUGUGUCAUUAUAAACCUGCCUGACCUAAUAAUAUACUCAAAACAGAUUUGUGAAUCAAGUUGAAUGAAACUAAAAGAGCCUUUGGAACUUUGGGCAAAGGACUUGAGUUCAGCCUACUUCUGACUUCAGAGACAGGCUACAGGGAGCCUAUCCCUGACCAUUAUUAUGAUAAUCCAGGGGAAGGUGAUACGUAGCAGGGUGACAGAAUCAGAGGGCAGGACCAGCAAGAGCAAGAUUGUCAGAAGACAGAAAGGUGUCUCAGUUAGUUAGGAGUCACUGUUUCUCACGGAGAAGGAUCCUCAGUGUCCUACACAGGAGCAGAUGGAGUAUCCCCAGAUACUGCUAUGGUGACUACUCCCCUGGAGUUUUCAAGCAGUUGGGGAACUGUGUCUAAGAAGUUAGAACUGUCGCCAGGAGAAAGAGAAAGAAAGAGAAGAAGCGUGGUUACCUCUCAAGGAAUCACUCAAGACAUAAAUGCUGAGUGAUUUGUCCAUUGAUGAGUCAGAGACAACCACAUUACCUGGAGAUGGAGCCCAGUUGUUACAGCAGUAAUGAAACUGCCAAGAAGAAACAAUUGCGUCUUUCAGACUGAUUUUUGAGACUCAAAAUGGAAAGUCUAAAGGAAGUAGAACAUUGAAUUUAUGGCAUGACAAUUGAAUUAAAGAGUACAGAGAGGUGAGGAAGUCCAAGAUCAAAGAUAUGCACACCUUUCCCCCCAAAGAACUACUCUUUUAACUUCCCAUUUAUUGCAAGUAAUUAAUGUAUUUCUUUACAUAUAAUUUUCCAUAUAACUUACCUUUAUGACUAGAUAUGAAAAAAAUG